rnacentral:rRNA from 1 species
UACGUAGGGCGCAAGCGUUGUCCGGAAUUAUUGGGCGUAAAGAGCUCGUAGGCGGUUUGUCGCGUCUGCUGUGAAAACCUCAGGCUCAACCUGGGGCUUGCAGUGGGGUACGGGCAGACUAGAGUGGCGGUAGGGGUGACUGGAAUUCCUGGUGUAGCGGUGGAAUGCGCAGAUAUCAGGAGGAACACCCGAGUGGCGAAGGCAGGUCA